UCCCUGGUAGUCUAGUGGUUAGGAUUCAAAACUUUGACCGCUGUGGCCCAGGUUCAAUCCCUGGUUAGGGAA
rnacentral:tRNA from 1 species